AACAAGGCGUACCUGCGGACCUGCGGAGGGAUCAUUACAAGUGACCCCGGUCUAACCACCGGGAUGUUCAUAACCCUUUGUUGUCCGACUCUGUUGCCUCCGGGGCGACCCUGCCUUCGGGCGGGGGCUCCGGGUGGACACUUCAAACUCUUGCGUAACUUUGCAGUCUGAGUAAACUUAAUUAAUAAAUUAAAACUUUCAGCAAUGGAUCU
rnacentral:misc_RNA from 1 species